rnacentral:rRNA from 1 species
UAGGGAAUCUUCGGCAAUGGACGGAAAUCUGACCGAGCAACGCCGCGUGAGUGAAGAAGGUUUUCGGAUCGUAAAGCUCUGUUGUAAGAGAAGAACGAGUGUGAGAGUGGAAAGUUCACACUGUGACGGUAUCUUACCAGAAAGGGACGGCUAACUACGUGCCAGCAGCCGCGGUAAUACGUAGGUCCCGAGCGUUGUCCGGAUUUAUUGGGCGUAAAGCGAGCGCAGGCGGUUAGAUAAGUCUGAAGUUAAAGGCUGUGGCUUAACCAUAGUAGGCUUUGGAAACUGUUUAACUUGAGUGCAAGAGGGGAGAGUGGAAUUCCAUGUGUAGCGGUGAAAUGCGUAGAUAUAUGGAGGAACACCGGUGGCGAAAGCGGCUUUCUGGCUUGUAACUGACGCUGAGGCUCGAAAGCGUGGGGAGCAAACAGGAUUAGAUACCCUGGUAGUCCACGCUGUAAACGAUGAGUGCUAGGUGUUAGACCCUUUCCGGGGUUUAGUGCCGUAGCUAACGCAUUAAGCACUCCGCCUGGGGAGUACGACCGCAAGGUUG